UCAGUGGCCUAGUGGUUAGAGCGUCUGCCUCAGAUGCAGGAGGUUGGUUUGAACCCCAGCCAGGUCAU